rnacentral:pre_miRNA from 1 species
AAUAAAGGAAUUUUUGUGUUUUUGGAUAGAAUUUUGACUCUUUAUUUUAUUUGAAAAAUUUUUAUGAUUAAUAUUUUAAUUGUUACUACAUAAUAAAACAUAAAUAGUAAUUUACUUGUGACCAAUUUUUUUAAAUUUUUUAAUAAAUUUUUUAAAUAAGACGGAUGAUCAAACAAUCAACCUACCAAACCUAGA